rnacentral:lncRNA from 1 species
CUGAAUCCAAAGCAAUUGACUUGGGAGGGGCUACUGGGUGAAACACGACAGGGAACAUCGAUCCUGGUAACUGAUUAUCAACCUGUAGCCAAUACAAUUGAGCUCGUAAGCUUCUUUGGUGAGGUGACUGUUUGAAUUCAACUUGAAUUCCUGAUAGGAAGUUACGUCGGAUGCUGCAUCUAACUGGGAGGCGCAUUUCCAUUGGGACCUUACUAAAAUUCACCUCUGUAGUACUGUCUAGUUUAUGCCAACCUGGAGUUUGGAAAGCAGUCUUACAAAGAUACUUUUGAUAGGCUUGUUCCAAUAGGUUUAUUUGUUUCUGAUUAAAUGGCCUCCAUUUCUGCUUCCGUUUUUC